CGCGCAGUACUGCCAGGCAGUGCUGGACGAGAACCCCGCGCAGGUUGCAGAGUACCUCACCAGCGACGCGAACAGACGGACGCGCGU
rnacentral:rRNA from 1 species